GUUGACUGAGGUCGAGCGGCCGCGUGAGUACGGAGGGGGGAAGCGGUGGCCGUAGUGAGUGGGGGUUAAGGGGGUUGAGGCGGCGUGGCAGGUACGCUGUGACAACUGGAGUCUGAACUUCCAGACGGCGAUGGAAAGCGGCCGGCUAGAGUCCGGAAGAGGAGAGUGGAAUUCCUGGUGUAGCGGUGAAAUGCGCAGAUAUCAGGAAGAACACCAAUGGCGAAGGCAGCUCUCUGGGACGGUACUGACGCUGAGACGCGAAAGCGUGGGGAGCGAACAGGAUUAGAUACCCGAGUAGUC
rnacentral:rRNA from 1 species